rnacentral:piRNA from 1 species
UCCGUUUAUUCUCAUGGAGGACAACUUGC